UUCGGGAUUCGAACCCGAGGAAUCGAAAAUGACGGUUCGACUGGCAGCGCGCAGCGAUGCCAGAACGUCGCCGCAGGCGACGACCCGAAGGGCGAGGCGCGAAGAAGUGCCGAGUAAUCCCUCCCUCUCCGCCA
rnacentral:sRNA from 1 species